CGCUUUUUUAAUCAGGUCGCCAAAAUAGAAUCCAUAGAACCGACUUCCGGAUAUGUGUGUGUGCGUGGUUUUCACAUGUAUCUGUGUGAGUGUUUCAUAUGUGUGUGUGUGUUUCGCUAAACGGCCCCUCAUAUAUUUUUUUUAAUUCCAUGCUGGCUUUCAAGUGAAUUGUCAAUGUGAUACACAGCAGCACAGCACACGGUGCACACAGUGAAAUUUGUCCUCUGCAUUUAACCCAUCACCCUGAGUGAGCAGUGGGCAGCCAUGACAGGCGCCCGGGGAGCAGUGCUCCUUCAGAGCAACACAACUCAGUGGCACCUUGGCGGAUCAGGACUCAAACCGGCAACCUUCUGAUUACGGGGCCGCUUCCUUAACCGCUAGGCCACCAUUGCCCCCCCUAGGCCACCACUGCCACACCCCUCCCCUACCUUGGACAAUCAGUCCACACCUAUAUACUUCUCACUCCAGCCUACAGACCCAUCAUCAAGCAGUUCAGACCAGCCAUCAGAGGGUUGAGAACGUGGCCCCAGGGGGCCAUCUCUGCCCUGUUUUGACUGCACAGACGGGAUCCACUUAUGACCACUUGUUACGUCUCUGGUCUAGGGUCAGAAACUCCAAAUGCACUUAUGGACCAAUUUGGAAGUCCAAAAGUAGAAGAAACUUCACUAAGGCCCUCACUAUAUACUUAGCCUUUAGUAAGCGUAACGGAAACGUGGGCCACUACACAUUUAAAACCUGUUUUGGUACGAGGAAGUGGACCAACACAAUCUCAAAUUAUUUUAGAAAAGGGUUUGGACAGGACCAGGACAGAGUUUACCAGCCAACUGACAAACAUGACAAUAUUGAGCAACAUCGGAUUUCAACCCAGGCCAAAAGAAAUGGUGCAAAAUCCGGUUAUAUGUUUUUGUUACUCCUAAGUGUCCAGACAUCACGUUGUCAUGCCCUAAACACAGUACCUCAGACCGAAACUUACGAGGAACCACCACUUGAUAUACUGAAUUCCAAC
rnacentral:lncRNA from 1 species